rnacentral:rRNA from 1 species
UUGUGCUAAGGUAGCAUAAUCAUUUGUCUUUUAAUUAAAGACUAGAACAAAAGAUUGAACAUUUUAAUUAAUAUAUUAUAACUAAUUAAUUAAAUUUAUUCUAAAUGUAAAAAAACAUUUAUAUAUUAGAAAGACGAUAAGACCCUAUUAAACUUAACUUAAGUUAAACUGGGGCAGUUAAUUAAUUAUCAUUUUAAUUUAAAUUUUAAAAUAAAUAGAUCCUAUAAAAUAGAUUAAAUGAUCAAGUUACUAUAGGGAUAACAGCGUAAUAUUAAUUAAAAGAUCUUAUUAAAAUAAAAGAUUACGACCUCGAUGUUGAAUUAAUAACCUAUACAGUUGCAAUAAACUAUAAAGGAAGUC